rnacentral:rRNA from 1 species
GAUGAACGUUGGCGGCGUGCCUAAUACAUGCAAGUCGAACGAAGAGCUUAAAGUAGCAAUACUUUGAUAACUCUUAGUGGCGAACGGGUGAGUAACGCGUUGGUGACCUGCCCCAAAGAUAGGGAUAACAGUUCGAAAGGACUGCUAAUACCUAAUGUUAUCAUUUGGCUUAGAUGCCUUUUGAUUAAAGGAGCUUGCUCCACUUUGGGAGGGGCCUGCGUCCCAUCAGCUAGUUGGUAGGGUAAUGGCCUACCAAGGCUAUGACGGGUAGGGGACCUGAGAGGGUGGCCCCCCACAAUGGAACUGAAACACGGUCCAUACACCUACGGGUGGCAGCAGUAGGGAAUAUUGGUAAUCUGCGAAAGCGGGAACCAGCAACGCCGCGUGCGCGAUGAAGGCCUUCGGGUUGUAAAGCGCUUUUCGGGAGGAAGAGGAAGGACUGUACUCCCGGAAUAAGUCUCGGCUAACUACGUGCCAGCAGCCGCGGUAAUACGUAGGAGGCUAACGUUAUCCGGAUUUACUGGGCGUAAAGCGCGUGCAGGCGGUUCGUUAAGUUGGACGUGAAAGCUCCCGGCUCAACUGGGAGAGGUCGUUCAAUACUGUUAGACUAGAGAAUGGGAGAGGGAGGUGGAAUUCCGGGUGUAGUGGUGAAAUGCGUAGAUAUCCGGAGGAACACCAGUGGCGAAAGCGGCCUCCUGGACCAUUUCUGACGCUAAGACGCGAAAGCUAGGGUAGCAAACG